rnacentral:rRNA from 1 species
GCUUACGGCCAUACCACCCUGAGAACGCCCGAUCUCGUCUGAUCUCGGAAGCUAAGCAGGGUCGGCCCUGGUUAGUACUUGGAUGGGAGACCGCCUGGGAAUACCAGGUGCUGUAAGCU